rnacentral:rRNA from 1 species
ACACAUGCAGUCGAGCGGUAGAGAGAAGCUUGCUUCUCUUGAGAGCGGCGGACGGGUGAGUAAUGCCUAGGAAUCUGCCUGGUAGUGGGGGAUAACGUUCGGAAACGAACGCUAAUACCGCAUACGUCCUACGGGAGAAAGCAGGGGACCUUCGGGCCUUGCGCUAUCGGAUGAGCCUAGGUCGGAUUAGCUAGUUGGUGGGGUAAUGGCUCACCAAGGCGACGAUCCGUAACUGGUCUGAGAGGAUGAUCAGUCACACUGGAACUGAGACACGGUCCAGACUCCUACGGGAGGCAGCAGUGGGGAAUAUUGGACAAUGGGCGAAAGCCUGAUCCAGCCAUGCCGCGUGUGUGAAGAAGGUCUUCGGAUUGUAAAGCACUUUAAGUUGGGAGGAAGGGCCAUUACCUAAUACGUGAUGGUUUUGACGUUACCGACAGAAUAAGCACCGGCUAACUCUGUGCCAGCAGCCGCGGUAAUACAGAGGGUGCAAGCGUUAAUCGGAAUUACUGGGCGUAAAGCGCGCGUAGGUGGUUUGUUAAGUUGGAUGUGAAAUCCCCGGGCUCAACCUGGGAACUGCAUUCAAAACUGACUGACUAGAGUAUGGUAGAGGGUGGUGGAAUUUCCUGUGUAGCGGUGAAAUGCGUAGAUAUAGGAAGGAACACCAGUGGCGAAGGCGACCACCUGGACUGAUACUGACACUGAGGUGCGAAAGCGUGGGGAGCAAACAGGAUUAGAUACCCUGGUAGUCCACGCCGUAAACGAUGUCAACUAGCCGUUGGGAGCCUUGAGCUCUUAGUGGCGCAGCUAACGCAUUAAGUUGACCGCCUGGGGAGUACGGCCGCAAGGUUAAAACUCAAA